rnacentral:rRNA from 1 species
AUCGAACGCUGGCGGCAGGCCUAACACAUGCAAGUCGAGCGGAUGAAGGGAGCUUGCUUCUGGAUCUAGCGGCGGACGGGUGAGUAAUGCCUAGGAAUCUGCUUGGCAGUGCUGGAUAAUGUCCGGAAACGGGUGCUAAUACUGCAUACGACCUGCUGCUGAAAGUGGGGGAUCUUCGGACCUCACGCUAUCAGAUGAGCCUAGGUCGGAUUAGCUAGCUGGUGGGGUAAGGGCCUACCUAGGCGACGAUUCGUAACUGGUCUGAGAGGAUGGUCAGUCACACUAGAGGGGGGACGCGGUCCAGGGUCCUGCGAGAGGCAGCAGUGGGGAAUAUGGGACAGUGGGGGGAAGCCUGGUCCAGCCAGGGCGCGUGUGUGAAGGAGGUCUUGGGAGUGUGAUGCACUUUAAGUUGUGGGAAAGGGCAGUAAGUUGAUACGUUGCUGUAGUGACGUUACCGGCAGAAUAAGCACCGGCUAACUUCGUG